GGGGUGUUAGCUCAAUUGGUUAGAGCACUCGCCUUUUAAGCGAUAGGUUCGGAGUUCGAGUCUCCGACAUCCCACCA
rnacentral:tRNA from 1 species